GUGAGGAAUAUUGGACAAUGGGCGCAAGCCUGAUCCAGCCAUGCCGCGUGCAGGAAGACGCAUCUAUGGUGUGUAAACUGCUUUUGUACGGGAAGAAACACUCCCUCGUGAGGGAGCUUGACGGUACCGUAAGAAUAAGGAUCGGCUAACUCCGUGCCAGCAGCCGCGGUAAUACGGAGGAUCCAAGCGUUAUCCGGAAUCAUUGGGUUUAAAGGGUCCGUAGGCGGUUUAAUAAGUCAGUGGUGAAAACCCAUCGCUCAACGAUGGAACGGCCUUGGAUACUGUUAGACUUGAAUUACAAGGAAGUAACUAGAAUAGGUAGUGUAGAGGUGAAAUGCUUAGAUAUUACAUGGAAUACCAAUUGCGAAGGCAGGUUACUACUUGUGGAUUGACGCUGAUGGACGAAAGCGUGGGGAGCGAACAGGAUUAGAUACCCGAGUAGUCC
rnacentral:rRNA from 1 species